GUAGCGGUUUUGUUGUUCUUCGUUGGGAAGAACAGGGAGUUCAUUCACCAAAGGUAUACUGUGUUUAGGAACUUGUUUGAUGAGUAUGGGAAACGGUUUGGGUUUCAGAGAACCCAUUCAAAGCCUGUUCAAUGGUUCAUUGGGGAAACAAAAUUGGGGGAUAAAGAGGGAAAAUGUGAAAAUGAGAAGCAGGUUGUGAGGGAAGGAGUUGAGUUUUACAGUAAUGGUGAUAUGUAUGAAGGUGAGUAUCAUAAAGGGAGGUGUAAUGGUAGUGGAGUUUACAACUAUUUUGUUAAAGGAAGAUAUGAAGGUGAUUGGGUUGAUGGUAAGUAUGAUGGCUAUGGGAUAGAGAAUUGGGCUAGAGGUAGCAAAUAUAGA
rnacentral:misc_RNA from 1 species